rnacentral:rRNA from 1 species
AUUGAACGCUGGCGGCAGGCCUAACCCAUGCAAGUCGAACGAGUGGCGGACGGGUGAGUAAUGUCUGGGAAACUGCCCGAUGGAGGGGGAUAACUACUGGAAACGGUAGCUAAUACCGCAUACCAUCGGAUGUGCCCAGAUGGGAUUAGUUAGUAGGUGGGGUAACGGCUCACCUAGGCCAAGAUCCCUAGCUGGUCUGGGAGGAUGACCAGCCACACUGGAACUGAGACACGGUCCAGACUCCUACGGGAGGCAGCGUUGGGGAAUAUUGCACAAUGGGGGCAAGCCUGAUGCAGCCAGGCCGGUUGUAUGAAGAAGGCCUUCGGGUUGUAAGGUACUUUCAGCGAGGAGGCGUUACUCGCAGAAGAAGCACCGGCUAACUCCGUGCCAGCAGCCGCGGUAAAC